CCGAACGUUUGGUUUUAAUCCGCAUGAUAUCUCUCAGCGUUUCUCUUAAUGAUUCUGAACCCAAAGGUGAUGAAUUUAAUAUAUAUAUGGUUUCGAUAUGCCGUCAAAAACCGUUAUGGCGACGAUUGACAACAACACUUGUCUAUUAUUUUUUCUUGAAGAAAUUUUACAAAAACAACUAUAUUUUAAUCUACAAACAGUAUAUUAUACUAGAACUAAAUAAAUUCAAAGUAUCUGAUUAUAAUGUAAACAAUUGUUCAGUUCUCUUUGCGCUCAUGAUAAGUUCGUUUCGCUAAUUUGAUCAAAGUCAGACAAAGCAUCAGGACGAGUUAUUCGUUACAAGGAAUAUGUCCCCCAGUUUAGAACCACACGAUCGACACGAUAACUGUGGUACUGCUAGUUCGAGAGGUUGUUCUUGCCAAAUAUUUUAGUCUCCAAGAUUUACGAAAUGCACAAACUCACAAGUAUAUAUGUCUCCAAGGGUUAAUAUAAUGUAACCGUUCGUUCACUGCUUUAUAUGGACGAACUCCAAAUCCUUUUCCUCCUGAUCGUAAGUAAGACGAAGUCAAGCAAUCGUUCAAGAUCUUCAAUGGCAACUCACCAGACUUAUAUUAGCACUAGGUUGAAUGCACUUUCUGGCGUUUCUCAAUUUUCUUUCUCAAUACAGAAUUUCCUGUUAGUUUUAAUCACUACACCUUCUUUACCACAAUUUCGUAACCUAGUUCAUGGUGGUUAGUCAACCGACCAUUUGUAAUAUUCAUUUGUACCUUCAUUCACUACCAUUUUAAUUUAUGCACGGUCUAACGACUUAUGCAUCGUCUUUCGAGAUUGUCAUCAUUGAUGGUAUUUCUUGUGGCUUUAAUACAAUGGUUUUAAGUAAUCCUUUAUAUUGUUUGCAUGUCUUUAACAAAUCAUCGAUUAGUCCAAAUAUAUAUCAACUGCAACCAGGAACGGUUCGUAAAGCGUAUACAACCUAACUUUGCCAAGUGAACCACUCACGGUCUUUCGAUGCAAUGUACGUACAUUGUUUCUCAGUUUCUUUUGACAUAUCGUGCAACUGCAACGUAUUCAAACAACCAUGCUGUAUAUUGUUGGUAUUCGACCUUUAUCAUCGACCUGCAUAUCAACUGCAACUAGCUUGUGAAGUCUGAAGAGUGUCAUAAGUCAUUACCAUUAAAAAUUCGUAAAUCAGUCACAUGAUCAGGAAUUUUCAAAUCCAACUGAAUCACAAACAACUUAUAUACGAGAUGGUCAUAAUAAUUUUGUGUGCUUUUUAAGAACAAUGUUUUCAGGUGGAAUCCAUAUAAUCUUCCCGCUAGAAUGCAGUCUUGAAAGCUUCGUCGGACUUCUCCAUGAACUUUUGCCCAUACUGGCAAAGUUAUUACACUAUUUUUUUUUAUCAAAUUUCAAUAAACAAGUUCGGUGUUACUACUUUCCAUCCAACUGACUAGUCUUUUUAAAAACUAAAACAUAUUUUCCACAUGUCGUAGCGAAACAUAGCGGCUUUUUCGUGUAUUCCUGCGUACUGGUGUCAAUUAAAUAAAGUUUUUUUUCUUUUUUCUGGAAAAUAAGUCACUAAAGAAAUUAAAAAUAUGAAUACGUGCGCAGUCUUAGCUACAUGUUAUGUGAUUCAAUUUUUACCCAACUCAGAACGCGUCUUUUGGAUAGGCAGUUAAAACUUCGAACUGGUUUAUUGGAUUAUAUAGACCAAAGUGUUUUUAACUUUUGCCAUGGUCAUUAAUCCAUUGUUAUAAUAAUAAUAAUGCAUGGUGUACAAAAAGCAUCAUUGUCAAUAUUGGCGCUCUUCGCUAAUGUUCUACAUGUUUUACUUUUUACGAUAAUGGUGAGCAAUUUCACAAAGUUCAAUAUAAUUUUUCAUCAAUUUUAGUUAAGAAGAGUGGGAGAAUAUUCACGAUGAAACGCGAAGCGUUGAGGUGAAUAUACUUGCACUAUUGACCGACACUUAUAGGCCGGUGAAUAAUUGGUGGCAUAUACCACAACAAAACAAAGGUCAUAGGCGUAUACGGUGAGGGGGCAGGGGGGAGUUGCUCACCCAAGUUAAAAAUUAAUUCGGGCAAAUUACAAAAGUAAUUCGGGCAAAAAUUGGUAAGAAAUAUGUAAAAGUAACGUUGAAAACCUCCCCCCCCCCCCGUCGACAACAAUUUUGAAAAUCUAAACGGAAAUUUUUUUUAGUAAGUCGGGCACAAUGUGGGAAUAAUCGGGCCAAUUUUCAUUCUGCCCCUCCCCACUGAUUUUUUUCCUACCGUACGCCUAUGACUAAGAUGACAAAAAAACAAGGAAAAUGUUUUUAAUACAACUUGAUAUUUCAGUUCCCGUCUAAUAGUUAUAAACAAGGUUGCAAAUGAAAUAGUAUUUACAUGCAAGCAUUUAGUAAUUUUGUUCAUUAGCAAUAGUUUUAAGAAUACUCAUGCACACGGUUAAACAAAACUUUGUGGUUUUCUUUGCAUUUUGCGAAACGGCAGCUUCGUUUCGUACAAACAUUUGCUCAUCUGUAAGCGGAACGAAACGCGAAGCCAUUUUGUCUUUGUUUGGAGGUGAAUAGUACAAGAAUAUCCGGAGCUGAACAAACAAACAAUUAGAUUGCUUGAAAAGUACUAUCGACCUCCCGAAUAAAUAGCAUGAUUUCAGUUAUAUUUCUCAGUUAUAUUUUUGUGAAGGAACGAAGCAGUCUUGUACAGUGUACGUGAUGUGCAACCACUCCCAUCGGAUUCAAAAGACAAAGAGAUUUUCGCCAUGCUGGAUGAUAUUUGCAUUGCAAACAUGCAAAAUCUUUUGUCAAUGUCAUCCAGUAUGGCGACGGUGACGUAAUUAUAACGUGCACACCUCCCAUACGAAAAGAGUCCUAAUUACAACAGCAAUGACGAUGGUUCAGUUCAAUAUUGCCCACUGUUAAACAGAACAAGUAGUAUUCUCUGCAAUUUCCCUACGAAAUUUUUAUCGCAUGUUAAAUAAUAUGUGAAAUUUCUGAAAUAUAAAAAGAAAAAGCAUAAUUCAUAAAGAAACGUAAUUUUUAGUUUGAUUUAUUUUUUU